ACCAUACAUUGUGAGUAUUAAGGCGGAAACAGACUAUCAUCACGUCACGUGAGCUCACGUGUUGUCACAUGAAACCCCACAUGCCGUCACACCUAUAAUCACACUAUUUAACAUGUCAUAUCACUUGUAACCAUACAAUUCGCUGUUUAUAUUUUUGUGUGUCUUGCAAAAUGGAAAGUGAGACCUCAACCAGUUCCUCAGAUUUUGAAGAAGACUUAGAAAACGUGGCUGCAUUUUUAAUAGUUGAUGAUGGAAUAAAAAGGAAGUGGGUGCACGAAAUAAAUAAACAGAGGGAAGAAUUAGGAGAAUAUCACAGAUUAGUUAAAGAGCUGAAUGAGCACCCAGAUCGAUAUCAUAUGUAUUUUCGGGUUACCAAAGCAGAAUUUGAUUUUUUGCACAGACUUGUUAAAGAAGAUAUCAAAAAGCAAAAUACCCAAUUCUGAAGGGCGAUAAGUACUGAAGAGAGAUUAGCGGUAUAUUUAAGGCAUCUCGCGACAGGCAAUUCAUUUAGAAGUAUGGUUUUCAGCUAUAGACUAGGAUUUAGCACAGUUCGAGAAAUAGUCAUUGAAGUUUGUAAUGCCAUCUGGAAGAACUUGGAACCCAUUGUAAUGUCUAAGCCAACGACAGAGUUAUGGAAAAAGUCUGCGGCUACAUUUAGUCAAAUAUGGGAUUUUCCGAAUUGCAUUGCUGCCAGAGAUGGUAAGCAUGUUAAUAUUCAGUGCCCAAUCAAUGCAGGCUCUACAUAUUACAAUUACAAGGGGAGUCAUUCAAUAGUUCUUUUGGCCUUGGUUGAUGCCGACUAUAAAUUUAUCGCCAUUGACGUUGGAUCCUAUGGCAGGAAUAGCGAUGGAGGUAUUUUUGAGAAAUCAAAAAUUGGUAAGAAGCUUCAAAACGGAAAAUUAGGAGUACCGGGAGAUACUCCCCUCGAAGCAAAUGGAUUACCACAGCCCCAUGUUAUUCUUGGCGAUGAAGCAUUUCCACUUAAAACUUAUUUGCUAUGUCCGUACAGCAGAUUUUAUUUGGGGGGAAAAUAAACCUAAUAAGAUAUACAAUUAUAGGUUAUUAGGGGCUAGGCGCAUUGUAGAAAACGCCUUCGGAAUUUUCGUCUCUCGUUGGAGAGUGUUUCGUAGACACUUCGAAAUACAAUCAGACUUCGUGGAUAAAGUUGUACUAGCUGCAUGUUGUCUGCAUAAUAUGUUGAGUACAGAAUCAAUGGAGCCCGACCUUGCUACUUUACGUUCUCCAAAAGCAGCCCUCCUAAAUAUUCAAGGAAUACGGAGAAAUCACGCUAAUGCUGCAUUCAGAACUCGAGAGGCUUUUAAAGAAUAUUUCAAUUCAUCUACUGGUUCUGUGCCUUGGCAAAUUGGUAUGGUUCGUAGAGGAAGAAUUUACAACGAAAAUGAUUAAUUGAGUACUUAUUACAACUACUUAUUCCUAACUAAAAUAAAUAAAUGAAAAUCUGAGAUUA
rnacentral:lncRNA from 1 species